GCAACUGUGUAUUUCAUGUCUAAUUUUAUCAAACAUAAUUUCACUUUUCUCUUGAAAAACAAAUGAAGCUUGUAAAUUUACUCAAAAACCUCACUUAUCCCAAGUAAAAUACAAAUUUAAUAAGUUACACCACAGGGACACCUGGCAAUAAUCAAACCGGAGAGUAUAUCAUAAUAUGAUCUAAGCAAGUAAACACAAACCAUCCAAUACUAAACCCAACCGAACAAUCCAGUAAAUACCAAUCAAUCCAAUGCGAUUUUAUUAGCUCAAGGAGCUACAUACCCAAGCUAGCUCGAGGAACUUAAAUCAUAGAUCCGUCAAAUAAGUGAAUCAUUCCGUCCAAAUUCAUCCCAUUUCUCCGUUUAAAUUCAAAAUAAAGUGGAAUAAGGGGAGAGAGGAGGUAAGAUAAUACCAAUCUUACCCUUAAUGAGACCCAACCAAACCAACCAUAUAAAGGGUUCAGUCCCAAAUUGCACACAUAAUCCCCAAAAACAACUAAAUGAAACCCUAAUGUCAACCUCAAGUGCCGCUGAGAGCUCGUGGGAAGGAAGAUAUGCAAAGCAGUUGAUUGUUACCAAGCAACCCCUACAAUGGAGUCUAUCGAGUCAGAAGUCGAAGUUUCCCUCUUUUUCCACCUCGAUGCUUGGCUAGGACCAGGAUGUUUUGGAUUUUGAGAAGUAAUUUGAGAGAGGUUCUUGAGAUGAAGUUUGAGAGGUGAAAUCUCAAGUUUGUACACUGAACUAAGAAGGAGUGCUUUGAAGGUGGAGGGAUUAGAUGCUUCUGUCGCUGAAGAUGUUUUUAGGGAUUUGUAUGUAUAUAUAUUUAUGGUUUUUAUUUUUGUGAUCAUUUUAUUUUCAAGAUGGGUUAGGAGUUAUUAAAAUUUGUAAACUUUGGUGCAAAAUGGCAAAAAUGAUGUUCUAUGAGUAUUUUAACUCUAUAAAUUUAGGCAUGUCAUAGUAGUUAGCUCGAAAUAGCGGACUUAAGUAUUAAUUAGAGUAUAAAUUAGAGACCGAAAAGUAUUUUACUCUAUAAUAAUAUUAGUAAAAUGUACGUUUAACUCCUAAGCUUUCAAAAAAGAUUUUUUAUGAUCCCUUUAAACUUUGAAAAGUACCUUAUGACUUCUUUACUUUUGAUCUUGUGGCCCAUCCAAAUUUUAUUUUUUAAUAAUCUUACAUAUUGUAAAUUGAAAAAAGCAUCGUUAUCAAGUACAUAAAAAAAAUAAACUUAGUGAAUCACAUGAUCAUUUUUAAAGAUUAGGGAUCUAUAAUUUUUUUUUUUUUAAGUUCAAAAGUUAAAUUAUGUAUUGGCUCGAUACAUAAAUUUAUCUAUGUACUUUUCACAAAAAAAUUUUAUAGUAUUUUCAAUUCUUAUUUUGACUUAUUAACUACUUCAAUGUUUAAAAUUGGACAUGUUAUAUGUUUUUGUUUAACUUAUUAAAUAUUUUAAUUUGUGCAAUUAGAUUAAUUAAACAUAUAUUGGAUAACUAAACAUAUAAAAAUUAUUAGUUCAAAAAGUUGCAUUGACCAUAUACCAAAUUAUAUUUUGGGUAUAAAAGUAAAAAAAAAACUUGGAAAUUAUUAUUUUUAGUGCAAAGAGGCUUAAGAUUAAAAUAAAGUGAAGUUUAUGGUCUCACAAAAUCAAUUUUAAAAUUUAAGGUGUAAUAAUUUUUUUUUCAAAGUUUAGGCGGUUAAAUUAUAUAUUCCACCGUUAAAUAUUUGAGUGAUAAAAUUUAAGACCCAUUUUUAAAUAUGAAUGAUUUUGAGAAAUUUAUAAACUUAAUUUAAAAAUAUUCAAAAUUCUUUAAUAAUAAAAUAAAAAAUCUAAUUAAUUUAUAUAAUAUAUAAAAGCAAAGCAGUUUGCAGUAUAUGUAUGUUAAGUGUAAGCCUCUGAUAUUACAAAUGUGAGAAGGAAUGAUAAGGACUAAUAAAUUUGAUUAAUUAUUAAAAAUUUAAAAAAUAAAAAUAGGAACAGCAAGGACCAAAAUUUAAUUAUCACAAGUUUUUUACAAAAUCAAUCAAAUUAGAUCUUUACAUUUUCUAGAGUAGGGACCAACAGUAAUAUAUACUUACAGUAUUUUUCAUUUGUUAUAUUUUAAUAAUUUUUCAACUCUCUUUUUAUACCGAAAUGUACAGAUAUAAUAAUUUUUAAAAAGUAGGGCAUUUAUACACUUAGGAUAUACUAUACUAAAUAAGUAAUAUCUUAAUAUUUCAAAUAAAUAAACAAUCAUUUAUAAUAAGUUAUAAAUAUAAAAUAAAAAAAUUAAUUUCUUAUUUCAAUGACACAAAAAUAAAUAAAAAAACACUUCAUUUUUUAUUGAUAAAAGAAAAUCUUGAUUCAUUAGCCUGAUGUAUUAGGUUACACGACACGGGACACGAGAUGCAGGAAUAUAUAAGAUACGAUAAUUUUUAAAAAGGGUAGGACGUCCACAUGCUUAGGACACAGUAUACUAAAUAAGUAAUGCAUUAAUAUUUCGAAUAAAUAAAUAAUCAUUUAUAAUAAAUCAUAAACAAAAAAUAAAAAAAAUAAAUUUCUUAUUUCAAUAACAGAAAAUAAAUUUUUAAAAAAACACUUCAUUUUUAUUGGUAAUAAAAAAAACCUUGGUUGAUUAGCUUGAUGUAUUGAGUAGUCUCAUAUACUAAGAGUUAAGUUGCACGGAUCCAGAACACGAGAUAAAGAAUGUAUGAGGUAUGACAUUAAUAUUUCAAAUAAAUAAACCAAUAAUUUAAUAAUAAAUCAUAAACAUAAAAUAAAAAAAACACUAAAUUUCUUAUUUCAAUGACAUAAAAACAAAUUAAAAAAAACACUUUAUUUUUAUUGGUAAUAAAAAAAAUAUUGGUUAAUUAGCUAGGUGUAUGGAGUAGUCUCAUAUACCAGGAGUAAAGUUGCAUGGACACGGGACACCAGAUACGAGAAUAUAUGAGAUACAAUAAUUUUUAACAAAGGUAUGACAUCUAUACACUUAGGACAUACUAUACUAAAUAAGUAAUACAUUAAUAUUUCAAAUAAAUAAACAAUCAUUUAUAAUAAAUUAUAAAUAUAAAACAAAAAAUACUUAAUUUCCUAUUUCAAUUACACAAAAAUAAAUUAAAAACAAAGCACUGCAUUUUUAUUGGUAAGAAAAAGAAACCUUGGUUGAUUAGCUUAGCGUAUGGAAUAGUCUCAUAUACUCAGAAUUAGAUUGCAUGGAUAAGGUAUACGAGAUAUGGAAAUGGAAAUAGGAUACGAUAAUUGUUUUAAAAAAAUAGGACAUCCACAUGCUUAGGAUACACUACACUAAAUAAAUAAUACAUUAAUAUUUCAAAUAAAUAAACAAUCAUUUAUAAUAAAUCAUAAACAUAAAAUAAAAAAUACUUAAUUUAUUAUUUCAAUAUAAUUAAUUAAAUUAUUGAAAUUAUUAUCACUAUCGAAAAAUACAUCAAUAGUGUGUAUGCAUUUUUUAAUGUAGGUCAUAUCAUGUAUGACUUUUACUAUUGCAAACUUUAUGAAAGGUUUCGCAGCAUAUUUAAGAAGACAUAUCUUAGCAUUAUAAUUUUUUAGCGUAUCUCAACGAGAUACAAUUUAUCAUUUUAUUAUAUAAUUUUAUUAUUUUUGAAUGAUGUUAUAAAAAAUUAUUUCGUCCUUUAAAUUGCUAUGCGCAUUGCGCGAGUUCUAACACUAUAAUAAUUUAAAAUCAUAAACAUUUUUAGAAGAAAAUAACAAACACUUACAUUCUACAUUAUCUAAUAAAAUUUUGAUUCUAAAGAAUUAGUAUUAUUUUAUUUUUUAAGAAUCGUUAUAAUUAAAUUUCACAUUUUUUAUAUAGAUAUAUUUGAAAAUAAUUAUAGAAACUUAAUAAUUGAAUAAUAAAAAAGUUGAGGCUUAACUAUUUAUUUAUCUAUUUAAUAUAUCUGUUAUAUAAAAGUUGAACCUUCUUGUGAAAGACGCAUUUGCCCAAUGGAUUGAGAAGAUUAAUGUAAGCUUGAUGUUUCAAUUAGUUAUUUUUUAAUGAAAAUAAAUAUUAAAUAAAAAUAAAAUGAGAAAAAUUCAAAGAUUAUUCAAUUUAAAAAAGGAAAAUAGGACUAUAUUUAAAACAAGUGAAAAAAAAAAUAGAGAGUAAAUCUGUUUUUCUAGAACACGAGGGGUCAUAAAAAUACUUGCAAACUUUUUUCAAUAUAAAUUUAAAUCAAUUGAGGAGUCUUUUUUAUUUUUUUUAAAGUUAAAAUAAUUAAUUAUAUUUCAUGAUAGUAGGAGAAUUAAAAAAGAAAAACAUUAAAUUAUUCUCUUUAAAAAUAUAAUUUCUUAAUAAUUAUCUUGACUGUUUCCGAAUUACAAUACAAAGUCAAAAUUAAAAAUUAUUUUGUGAAAUUCUGUAUUUUAGUAAAAAUUUUUAUGGCAAUUUCAUUUUUUUUAAUUUGAUCUAUUAAAUAUUUCAACUUAGAAAAUAAAAAAAUUGAAGUAAUUCAACUUAUUAAAUACUUCAACUUGUAGAAUUAUUCCAUUACACACUCUUACAUAAUUAGAUCGAUUAAACAAUUACAAGACCACGUAUCAAGUGAAUAUUUUGCACAUAAAUAUAAAAAACAUUCAAAAAUUGUUAUUGCUAUUAUUGAGAGAGAUACAAUAUUACUAAAAUUCGCAAGUUCAAAGAGCGUAAUAAGUCUCUCGUAAAGUUUGGAGUACUACAAGAUUUUUUUUCUGUAAAAUAUAUAAGUGAAUUUAUACAUUUGAUUGAAAAUAUUUUACUAAAAAUAUAUUACUCUUGUCAUUCCAAAAAAUAAAUCAUUUAGAAUUAUUAUCUUGUCCCAAAUAUAAGACAUUUUAAGUAUUUUAUAAAAUAUUAAAUAAUCUUUUUUCAAUUUUACCAUUAUUUAUAUUAACUGAAAUAACCAUCUUUACAUGUUACUCUUAAUCUUAAAGAUAAAAAGAAUUUAUUUGAAUUAUUUUUGAGUUUUGUUAUAAUUUUACAAAAUUAAUUACUUUUUAAAUCCCGUAAAAAAAAAUAAUUUAGGACCACGGAGUACAUGUCAUAUGUGGAUGAAUGAUAUGGGAUGCAUAAUGCAUACAUGUGAUAUACAUAGCCACAUGGACAUACAUAGCAUAGAAGAAGAAGAGAGGAGGAGGAGAUGAAUAGCAUUUGACUUCAUUUUCUUAGAGAGAGAAUGGAAGAGAAAAUAAAAAGAAGAGAGAAUGAAGGAGGAGAAAAUUCAAUCGAAUCGAAUACAAUUUUGACGUCCGCAAGGACACAAACACUCUCUCUCUUCCUUUCUCUCUCUAAACAUUCUCUCUCUGGAUACAGCAGAGAACAGGGCACACAACCCAUAUACUGAUAGAGAGAGAAACAACAAGCAACAAAAAAAAAAAAAAAAAAAAAAAAAGAAGCGAACUUAAAAACAGAAGGUAGAUUUUUGACGAACUCAGCAAACAAAAACCCUAGAGUGCAAGAGACCCUUUGGACUAUUGAACUCCUUCUUCGUCUCUAUUCAAUAAAAGACUGUUUUCUUUUCUUUUUUUUUUUUUUGUGGUUGAUGAUUAUUGAGAAUUUUUGGGAUUUUGGUGUAUGCUUGAUUAGAGAAAUCUUUGUUGCUCACUGUUGUCCCUCUCACUACCGUUAAUUUCUACUGCAGGUGAGUUCUGUAUUUUUUAGCUUGUUUCGGCUCAGACUUUUGCUUUUUUUUUAUUUUUAUUUUUUUUUAAUACCCAUUAUUUCUUUUGGCUUAUUGGUGGCUUUGGAUCUUUGAUUCAGUUUAUUAGGGCUCGAUCGAGGUGGUGGUUUUAACGGUCAUUUUUAGCAUUCUUUUUUGCAUUUUUUUUUGUUGCAGUAACUGUGUUCCAUUUCAUAAAAGUUUCAAUUUUGCAGUCAUUUUGAAGCUUUUCUUUUGGGUUGGGUGAUUUCAAUUUGAGUUAUUUGACUAUGGUAAACAUUUUCUUGAUGGGUUUUGUUUAAUUUUGAUGCAACUUUUUUGUGGUAUCGUGAGUUUUGAGAAUAUGGGUUUGUUGUAGGAUUUGAUUGAGGUUAAACUUUCUUUUUGUGAUUUUUCAUAUGGGUUUUAGUUAACAGUGCAAUAAUACUGAGCUGUUCUUAAACUACUGUCUUUAGUGGUGAAUGUUUUAUUUCUUAAUUCUUAGCUUUAUAUGGUUUUUUUUUUUUGAAAUGGAUCUAAAACCGCUUUUCUGAUACAGGGAUUCAUGCAAAGACCAUUGAAGGAUUGCUGGUCGUGUGAAGAUAGCGCGACUCUAGAAUGUUCAAAAUCAAGGCAUGUUCCUUGGCUUUUGUUUACUUUGGUCUAUGGCUUGUGUUUGGUAAAACGCAACACCAUCUACUCAGGCACAAAACCUAUUCAUUCCUUUCGCUGCACAAUAAGGACUUUGAAGUCUGCAGUCUUGGAUGUGGAGUUGAAAUGCUAAGUAGGUCCAGCUGUAUGCCUGCUUUAUUCUGAUUGGUUAUGUAAUUGUAGGCUUAUUUAAUUCAUGUUAUUUUAGAUCAUUGUAAUACUUAAAAGAGUGUUUAUAGAUUGUGAUUCUUGAUAAAAUGGUACCCUCGGGGCCGCCUACUCCAAUUGGUGGUGCCCAAUCUGUUUCUCCUUCACUUUUGAGAUCAAAUUCGGGGAUGCUGGGAGCUCAAGGAGGUUCUCUGUCUUCUCAAACUGCAUUCCCUUCAUUAGUUUCCCCACGUACUCAGUUUAAUAAUAUGAAUAUGCUCGGAAAUGUACCCAAUGUCUCCUCCUUCCUCAAUCAGUCUUUUGGAAAUGGGGGUCCAAAUCCAGGGCUUUCUGGUCCAGGGAGUAGCCAGCGUGGAGCUAUUGAUAGCGGGGCUGAAACAGAUCCACUUUCAGAUGUUGGUAGUGGAAUGGGUUUCAAUGCUCCUCCAUCUUCAUUUGUGCCUUCUAAUAUGGUGAAUCCUGGUCCAUCUGGUCAAGUUCAGGGACAGCAAUUUUCAAACCCUUCUGGCAACCAGUUGUUGCCAGAUCAACAGCAAUCCCAACAACUUGAAGCACAGAGUUUCCAGCAUGGUCAGCAACAAAUGCAACAGUUCUCUGCCCCUCAUAAUACACAGCAGGUGCAGCAGCAGCAUCAAUUUCCACAAAUUCGAGGAGGAAUAGGUGGCGUUGGGCCUGUCAAGUUGGAGCCUCAGGUAGCAAAUGAUCAACAUGGAGGACAACAGCAGCAGGCACAGCAGCUGCAGUCAUUGAGAGGUCUUGGUCCUGUCAAAUUGGAACCACAACAAAUGCAGUCUAUUAGAAAUUUAGCGCCGGUAAAGUUGGAACCUCAACAUUCAGAUCAGUCAUUGUUUCUACAUCAGCAGCAGCAACAGCAACAACAGCAACAGCAACAGCAACAACAGCAGUUCCUUCACAUGUCAAGGCAGACUUCACAAGCUGCUGCUGCACAAUUGAAUCUUUUCAAUCAGCAAAGAUUACUGCAGAUACAUCAGCAACAGCAACUUCUGAAAGCAAUGCCACAGCAACGGCCACAGUUACCACAGCAAUUUCAGCAGCAGAAUUUGCCUCUAAGAUCUCCUGUGAAACCAGUGUAUGAACCUGGGAUGUGUGCUCGUCGGCUCACACAUUACAUGUAUCAGCAACAGCACAGACCAGAAGUGAGAUUUCCUGUUGGUGAAUAAUGUUUUGACUUUUGCUGUUAACAUUUCUGGUUUGUAAUAAUGCUCAAUUGUCAUGUAGGACAACAAUAUUGAAUUCUGGAGAAAAUUUGUGGCUGAAUAUUUUGCCCCGCAUGCAAAAAAGAGGUGGUGUGUUUCUAUGUAUGGAAGUGGCCGACAAACAACUGGAGUUUUCCCUCAGGUCAGCUGCUUGAUAAAACUUAGCAACAUUGAACAAUUGCCGACACACCUCUAAAUCACGCUAAACUAUUUCUAUGUUGGUGUGCAUGUUUUAAAUGGACAAAUCAGGUCGAUUGUUACACAGUUCUUUGCAUAUUUUAUUUAUAUGAUCUUCCUAAGUUUUAGUUGUAAUGCUUUCUAAAAUCCAUGAGAAGUGAAAAGAAUGCUCUCAGGAAGUGAAUACAUUUUUUUUCGUAAACUACGUGUUUAACUUUCUUCUAGUACCAAUUAUUGAUGUAAAUUGAUCCCAACAUCUUACUUGCAACUGUUACAGGACGUAUGGCACUGCGAGAUUUGCAAUCACAAGCCAGGCCGUGGCUUUGGUAUGAUGUUUGAUCUUUUACUGCUUUAGUUUUAGUUCUUCGAUGAGACUAUCUUGGUGCUAGUUUGAAUUGGUGUGUCCAUAGUUUUAGUGCUUUCCUCUGCAUUAUAUUGUAUCUGAUUUUGAUAUCCCGUUGGUCAGAGGCUACUGUUGAGGUUCUUCCCCGGCUUUUCAAAAUCAAAUAUGAAAGUGGUACUUUGGAAGAGCUUCUUUAUGUGGAUAUGCCACGUGAAUAUCAGAACUCGUCUGGUCAAAUUGUCUUGGAUUAUGCAAAAGCAAUACAGGAAAGUGUUUUUGAGCAACUUCGUGUUGUUCGUGAUGGGCAACUGCGGAUAGUCUUCUCUCCAGACUUGAAGGUACACAUUAAAGGGGUGCAUUUUUUCUUUGAAUAAUUUCUAGAUUCCUGAGGUAGAGUAAAUUUGCUCUUUCAUUGUUUUUCUCCAGAUAUGCUCUUGGGAGUUUUGUGCUCGGCGUCAUGAAGAACUUAUUCCUCGAAGAUUGUUAAUACCACAGGUUGGCAGCCAACUGUAUUGCUUAAUAAUAAAAAAUACUUUGUUACUGUUAAUUCUUGAACAAAACAUGUUUAAGAAUAUGUUUGUAAUUGAACCUUUAUCAUCUGAAACUUAGAAGGCUGAGCUUGACUUUCUGGUAUUAGGUUUAUUGCCAGUUUCUAGUGAAACAGAUGAUGGAUUAAAUGGUAAAUGGACUUGCAUAGAAACAUUCAUGCUUACCAAUGUUAUUUCAAUGCACUCUUGUUGCUGGAUUAUGAUCCUGUAUAGUUGAACCAGACUCAAUUUUGAUUCACCUGGUGAUUAAAGAUUUGUAUCUCUAACCAUUGAAUGAUCAUGUGUUUUACUUGCAUAUGCACAACUGAGCAAGAAAUUUGCCUAAGAACAUUUUAUAUUUUGAUAAAAGAAUUUAAUUGUUCUUCUUUAUGCAGUUUUGGAUUUUAUACAUGAUGAAAUGGGUUAUACUUUACUAAUAUUCUAGUAGUAUUAGCAAUUCGCUUUAGAAUUAUAUGAUCUUCCGGUUCUCCCUGGACCUUUUUUUUAAUGGAUUUUGAGGGAAUCUAGUUUGUGGCCCUGUUAUUUUAAUGGAAAAGGCAAAUGCCUCCAGUUCACCAUCGAACAAACAUUUGGGAGCAUUAAGUGGAAGCUUUUUGCCGUGGCAUUGUAUCCAAAAGAGAAAAUAUGUUGUGCUGACAAGGAUUAUGCAUGAACUAUGGUUUUUAAUUUUGCAGGUCAGUCAGCUUGGUGCUGCCGCUCAAAAGUACCAGACUGCUACUCAAAAUUCAUCAUCUAAUUUGUCUGUUCCAGAGUUGCAAACUAAUUGUAAUAUGUAAGUUGUUUAUCAAUGCAUUUCAUAUCAAACAAAUUUUGGGUGGCCUUUGAUUGUAAUUAAUUCCUUCUUUCCCCAUUUAGUUGGAUAGUUGAGUGCUUGAUGAGUUCCUUGAUGUACUGAACUGGUAACCUCUUUGGUGUAGGUUUUAUUGUGUUAAAUGAUCAGUCAAUCUAGCUGUCAAGAACAAAUUCAUAAAGUUGUUGCAAGCUUGCAAGUUGCACUUAUUCAUCCUUAAAUAAGAAAUUAUUAUUAAUAUUAUUAUUAUGACUUCUAAUAAAGGUGCAUAACUUGCAUGGUUUGUCUUUGUUUUGCUGAAAGCAGUCAAAUUACGCUUUCGAACAUGUCGCAAUUAGGAUUAUUAACUAAUCUUGGUCUUCAGAAUGUCACUGAGCAUGUACAAUAUAAGAGAUCUGGGAGUUGCACUCUUAUAUUGUUCACUUAAAGCAGGUCUGUUGAUUUGAGUUAUCUAAAGACAAGAGUACUGGGUAAUUUUACUGUUGCAAUUAGAGUUUUCCUUCUCUUCCUAAUUUUUUUUUGAAUUUACGUAGAUUUUUGUCAUGCAAGGAUGUAUGUUACAUUUUGAUUAAAUUGAGAAAAUUAUCCUUUAUCCCUAGGCAGGCUUUACCAUUGGCCCCAUACUUGUUGCCAAAUGUCUGUAGAAGUGCAUACUUUUGUAAUCUUGUUUAUCUUUAUCUAUGAACUGUUAGAAAGCUCAGAUUCAAUGAACAAAUUAAUAUUUUUGGACAAUAAUGUCUUAUGCUUGCUUUUUUCUAUCAAUUAUUUAUGAGCUAUCCUUCUCUAGGUUUGUUGCAUCAGCUCGGCAACUUGCAAAAGCUUUGGAGGUUCCGCUGGUAAAUGAUUUGGGAUAUACAAAGAGAUAUGUGAGGUGCCUGCAGGUGAUGGCCUAAAACCUUUUAUGGUCAAUGUGACUAUAUGAAUGUCAUGUUGAUUAACGUGUUAAAAGGUUACAAUUAGUGAGUAUUCAUGUAUCUUAGUAAGUGGGUGUGUAUUGGAGGUUAAUGUACAUUUUGGAUUAUAAAAAAUGUCCCUUGGUUUGAGAUGCUAUUCUAUUUGAUGGACUUGGGUAUAUUUAAACUCAUUCUACUUUCAUGACAAAAGCUUCAUUAUUACAAUAGAUCCCCUUUGUGAUUAUGUGAGAGCCAUGUUGCAUGGAAACUGAAACGAAGAAAUGUGGAAAUGAUAUAGGGAAAUGACAUUUAAAAUAUAAUUUUACACAGGAAACAGUGUUUUAUAUAUGGGGAAAUGGAUAUGGAGAAACGUUUCCGGAAUGUGGCCCAUGGCUAGAAGUUUCUGUGCAUCAUCAUUGUGUGAGAGUGUUCUGUUAGCAUCUGAUCUUUACAUUUUCUCCUAUAGUUCCUUUCAUUGAAAUAUUAUUUUUCUUUCGUAUCAGACUUGAAGAGAAUUUUGAAUUCUGAAUUUGUUUGUUUGUGGACUCUCUACAUGGCGUAUUACCAACACGAGUACAAUUGGCAGUGUUUCUUCCCACUAUGCUAUGAUUACAUACAUUUUCAAAUAUUUUAGGUUGAUUUGUGCAUGUGGUAUCCAUUAAAUUAUUCUUUUCAUAUUAUAAAAAUGAUAUUGAUAAGAUUUAAGGGACUAAAGCAAUGAUGUAUUGGGAUAAUUUUAUAGGGUUUUCUGUGCAUUUGGUAUAUUGCUUAAUUUCCAUUAUCUUGAUUGAUUGCUGCAUGUUUUUUUUUUUUUUUUUUUUUUGACAAAGCUGUGUUCAAUAUCGUUGCAGAUAUCUGAAGUGGUUAACAGUAUGAAAGAUUUAAUUGAUUACAGUCGAGAAACAGGGACUGGACCUAUGGGUAAGUUUGAUGAGUUUUCCAGUGAUUAUGACAUUUUCUUCUAUGAUAACACUUUGUGCUUGUAUCGAUAAUUUGUCAUACACAUUACAAGUGUGCUGAGGGUGUCUUAGUGCUGCUAAGUUAGUCUUACAUUAUUUAGUAGGUUGUUUUAGUUUACCCUCUGCACAGAUGGAUAAAACAGGUAGUUGCUAUUUUUUUAUUGCUAUAAAUUCAAUAGACAGUAUCAUAUUGCCUAUCCAUACUGCAGAUCUCUAUCUCAUUAAACAAUAGCUGUCUUUUAACUUUUUUUGAAGGGAUUGUGUUAUUCAAGUAUAAAUCUUAUAUUUCCGUAGUGAUACUUGAGUAAAUAUAAAGCUUUCAGCCCAAAGUGUGUUCUAUGGUAAUAACUAAGAAAUAUUUCGGGGGAAUCCUUACACUUUUCCCAUCUGCCUUGAGUAGAUUCUUGAGGCAAUGGUGGUUCUAGUAUUUAGUUCCUGCAUCGUCAUGAUGCAGCAGUAUGAUUGUGCUGUAUGUCUAUCAUUAAUUUUUCCUGUGCUGUAUGCCAUUGCAAUGUGGGCUAACCUUCAAUUUGACCUCGAACUUUUCAAAUAGUUGUAAAUUCACUCUAAAUCGAUGCUUGUACCUUAGGAACCUUGAACUUAUCAACUAGUUGCAAUUACACCCUAAUUUGAAUUAAUAUCCAACUCAUUAUUUUUGCAUUUUAAAAUUGGUUCAAUUUUAAAUCAAAUACUCAAUCUUGAUUUUAUUUAUUUAUUAUAUGAAUACUUGGGUUUGAUUUUAUAUUUAUUGUUUAAAUACUUGGCUAUGGAGUUCAUUCUUUUACAUUAUUUUAAUCAAAAUUCCAACCUUAGUUUACUUUUAGGAUGCAAUUGCAACAAAUUGACAAGUUUAGGGUGUUGUAAUUCACUUUUAGGGUGCAAUUGCAUCCUAAGAGCAAAUUAGAGUGUGAUCACAAUUAGGAUGAUAAGUUCAGGGUGCUCAGGGUACAAAGGUUGAUUUAGAGUGAAUUGCAAUUAUUCCAAAAGUUUAGGGUGAAAUUGAAGGUUUGGCCUUGCAAUUUGUAUGUUGGAGAUCGGUUUUUCUGGAAAUGUCUCUUGUGCAAGGGGCAUGACAACAAAUAUAUGCAUGACGAGGUAGUCUCACUGUUACUAGUAAGAUGAAGAGGCACAUGGCAUACUGAUAGAAGGCAUUAAAUGCUUGUGUUGAAUGCUUGAAGACCUAAGAAAAUGAUAAUUAAUCUGUGAGUAGAAUUGGAAAACUGAAAUAAUUUAGUUGCUUCUGGUGCUUGUGAAUCUAGCAUGUAGAAUUAUAAGACCAAUUAUGUUUGAUGUCGAGGACUAUUCGAAUUGAUAUGAUUUAUGUCAGGCAGUUUGAUAACUGGGAAGCCAAAUAUGUGCAAAUGCGUUUUCUAGAGUCCCGUUCAGGGUGUGGAGCUAUAAUAAUAAUGAUGAUGGAUUCAAGGGUGUUAGGGGCCCAGUAUAUAUUUGUACUUGUAUUUUAUCUAAAAUUUGUAAGGGCUUUACUGUCCAACUACCAAUAUAGUUUCACCUCUGAUCCCUUGGAUGUCUUGACCCUUUAGGAGAAGCAAAGAAUGUGUUGUUGACUGGGUUGUGAUCUUGGGCAACUGGGAUUAUGUAUGCAAAGCCAGGUGUUGGGGGUGUUCCCUGUAUCUGCAUGUCUGCCCUUUUCCUUCUAUCUAUUUACUAUUUUACCUUGUACUUAUAUUUUCCAUCAGUGUAGUAUGUUCUUUGUUGUGAUUGCAUGUGAAACUGCUAUUCACCUCAUAAGCAUUGGUAUGUUUAUUUACAUGAAUAUUGUUAUCACAUUAGGAUGUAAUUGGACAGGUUCUGUCUUCAGAUUCUUAGUUUUCAUGUCAAUAUCAGAACAUAAUAUUGCUUUCAAUGGAUGCUAUCUCAUCUAAUUAUUUUUGGCAGAGAGUUUGGCAAAGUUCCCUCGGAGGACUAGCACUUCAUCUGGGUUUCAUAGUCAAGCUCAACAACCUGAAGAACAGCUACAACAGCAACAGCAACAGCAACAAGCAAUGCCCCAGAACUCAAACAGUGAUCAAAGCUCUGUCCAGGCCGGUGGAAUCCAAAUUGCUGCUAGCAAUGCAAUGUCUAGUGUAAAUAACUCCCUCAGCACAGCACCUGCAUCUAGUUCUGCAAGUGCUAUUGUUGGGCUUCUCCACCAGAAUUCUAUGAAUUCAAGACAUCAAAAUUCUAUGAAUAACGCUAGCAGUCCCUAUGGAGGAAAUUCUGUUCAGAUUCCAUCACCUGGUUCCUCCAGCACGAUGCCUCAGGCACAACCUAAUCCUUCUCCUUUCCAAUCACCGACACCCUCGUCUAAUAAUCCUACACAAACAUCUCAUGGUGCCUUAACAGCUGCAAAUCACAUUAACUCUACAAACUCACCAGCAAAUAUUCCCUUACAACAGCCUGCUCUUUCUGGCGAUGCUGACCACAGUGAUUCUCAAAGUUCCGUUCAAAAAAUACUCCAUGAAAUGAUGAUGUCCAACCAACUUAAUGGCACUGGUGGUAUGGUUAGUGUUGGUUCUUUGGGGAGUGAUAUGAAAAAUGUUAAUGGGAUUUUGCCAACAAGUAACAACACAGUUCUCAAUGGGGGAAAUGGCCUGGUGGGAAAUGGGAUGGUCAAUAAUUCUGGGAUGGGGGGUGGUGGAUUUGGCAACAUGGGCAGUGGACUUGGGCAAGCUGCCAUGGUCAAUGGAAUUAGAGCUGCAAUGGGUAAUAACUCUGUGAUAAAUGGACGUGUGAGUAUGCCAUCGAUGGUUCGAGACCAAAGCAUGAAUCAUCAACAGGAUUUGGGCAACCACCUGCUUAGUGGGCUGGGAGCAGUUAAUGGAUUUAAUAAUCUGCCAUUUGAUUGGAAACCAUCCCCUUGAAGGUUCUAUCAAUGAUACUGAUGUCUCAGUCCUUGAUUGUAGCUGCUUGUGCAGCAUGAGUGUGGGCAGAAUUUCGUGCAGCCCUGUGAAGAUGAUGACAUUACACGAAGGAAUAGUUUGAGGGCUAACUUCCCACUUUGUACUAAUUUCAGGAAAAAGUAAAACAUAUAGCAUAGUGUUCUAUCAAUGAAAUGUUAAAUCUUCUUCGAGUUGCUUCAUUUUCUUCUAAUUGUUUUCUUGAUUUAUGAUUCAAUACAGCCUCUUUUCUCACUAACAGUCUAGAAAUGAGAUUCAGGGACGAAUGGUUGUCUACUUGAAAGCUCUUAUCCUGUACUUCCUGCCUUUACCAGAGUCAUAAAAAUAGCGUAUGUAUUUGCUCUCUCUCUCCUCUCUCUCUCUCUCUCAGCGCGUAUAUUCAACAGAAACAUUUGCAUUGAAAUAGCUAGAACUAUAUUAAUUCCUAGUUUUGUACUAUGUUGUUAGUAAGAUCCCCAGUUUCAUUGUUGAACUAUAGUUUCCUGUCUUGUUCAGUGACUGGAAAAACAUGCUCUCCCCUUCUCUUUGGUCAACUUGCCAGACCUUGCCUACCGGUAACUAAUAAUUUAAUUAAAGUGUCAUUUGCCAUGAAUAGGGGCAGGUGCACAUCAACUGAGGAACAUGGUCUAACCUAAAUGAGCUGUGAUGUUAUGAUCUGCAGGUAAAAUAAUGAAUCUUCAAUGUCCAGUAGUAUAUAUUUAUAAUAAGGACAGGGAAGAGAUUUAUUAUUCAUGUGCUCAAUGCCUUGUUUCGAAAUUUUUCAUUAUUAUUAUAGAUGAAAACUUUCAUUUCACUUACGAAUUUAUUGUUAUGGAAUUCAAAAUUACUUAGUUUCUAAACAAGGGGUACCGUAGAUUAAUGGAUAUUUGUGCAGAAUUUGGAAAGGUGAAUCCAUGGUUGCAUUUUUACAUUAAAUACAAGAAACAUAUUUUAAAUCAUAAGGUGGUAGAGCUUUGUAGUUGUCUAAAUUGUGUCAACUUUCAAGCAUCAAUGUAUUUCUCUAUAGUGCUAGACAAGGUUGUCUUGGGCACUGCUCCAAUGACACUUUCUUUCUUCUCUCCUUUCUUGAAAAACAGCACAGUUGGUAUGCUUCUUAUUCCAUAUUUGUUGGCAAUAUUUGGGCACUCAUCGGUGUUUACCUUGAAACAUGAAAUCUUUCCGGCAUAUUCUUUUGCCAAUUCAUCGAUCACCGGUGCUAUCAUCCGACAUGGUCCGCACCAUGGUGCCCAAAACUCCACCAGAGCUGGGUUUUCACUGGAAAUGACAAGAUUAUCCCAGCUUGAAUCUGUAACCGCUUGAACUGCAGAUUUCAAGCCCUUUGUGUAAAUCAGAUCAAGUUUUUCAGCAUUUAUUAAUUUGAUAAGUGGCUAAGAUGAACAGAAUUGAGGAAAAGAAAAUGUUCAUAACAGAAUUCAAUAUUCAAAAUCAAGUAAAAUCCCAUCUAGGCUUAUCAAAAGUUGAACCAUAAACUAUUUUAUAUAACUUAUUUAUUUGAUGGAAUAAACAAUUAGUGUCCAUUUUCUUCCUUUUCAAGACCACCAUUAAAAAAAAAAAAAAAAAGCAUUUAUGAGGAGACAUCCAUGAACCCGAAAUGAAAUUAGUAAGAUACUCAUGCGUAAAUUUAAAAAAAAAAAUGGUUUGGUUAGACAACAAGAAUGAUAUUUAUAUUAUAUUUAAAAGCGACAUAUUACAUUUUAUGAAAAAAAAGAAAGAUUAAUUCAUUUUUUCUUUUAUCAUUUGAAGAAAAAUUCAUAUAUUGCCCCUUUUUCUACUGUUGGACUCAAUCUUGUGAUAAUAAUAUUAAAUUCUUUUUUUUUUUUUUUUUUAAGUGAAAAAAUUGAACCAAAUGAAAGUCAAUAGUUUGAAGAACUACAAUAUGAUGAAUGUGGAGGAAGCUAAUUAUCAUAUACUUAAACAAAAAUAAAAACAAGUGAUUAAUUAAAAUGCUGCUGUAUAUUAUCAAACACGUAUCUAACAAAUUGAAAAAAAAAAAAAAUGGUGCACAGAACUUAUUAGCAAACCUUCAUUUAAAGCUUCACGAGCCUUGCAAACAAAACGAGCUUUUUGGCUUCUGGGUUUGAGCCUGAGAGAAGAAGAAGAUAAGGAUAAAAGAUCUUUAUUUGCUAUAUUAAAUAUUCCUUUACAAGAAGUCGGCAAAUGAAUCUUCAAUGGCUGUGAACAUUGCACUACACCACCUCUACCACUAGUGCAUACUUGAAAACAAUUCUUCAUAGCCAUCUCUCUUUCUCUCUCUCUCUCUCUCUCUCUCUCUCUCUCUCUCUUUUACACUCUCUACUUCUAAUGGAUUAUGCUAAGAAAAGAUGAUGAGAAAGAAGAUGUGGUCUUGGUCUUUUGGAUUUAUUUCUUUAUUUAUAUUUAAAUUAUUUAUUUUUCCUCUAAUUGUCAUGAUUUAUAUCCAAGGGACCGAACUAAUUUCUGAAAAUUCAAUAUAUAUUCUCUUUUAUUUCUAUAUUAUUUAAAUUUUAGUUUUGUAAUUCUAAUAUUUAACAUUCUAUUACAUCCUUUUGAAUUUCUUAUCUCUAAUAUUUAUAUUUGAAAUAUUUAGAAGAGGAUAUUCUAAUAAAUUUGUGAGGUAACAGAGGGGCUUGUAGUUCAUGUGGAUGACAUUUCAUUAAGCAGAAAUUGGAAAAAGAAAAAGAAAAUAAAAAAAAUAAUAAAAAAACAAAAAUCUAAAUGAUUCAAUCCAAAGGUGUAAGCUUUUGUAGAAGUUUAAAGUUUGAAUGUUUUAGUGAGUCCUUAUUGGUUGAGCAUAGACUUCUCAUCCUGUUGGGAGCUUUGGAUCAUUCUUUUGUUGUUCUUGUAGUCAUUGGUUUAGAUAGUGACCUUUUAGCAAAUUUCUAAAAAACAUAUUAAAGGUUUUUGUUUUUAUUGUUCAAUUUCAAAUUUCGAUCCAAACAUCAAAUUGUUAUUUCUUUUUUCACUGUCUAUAAUAUGUAAAAGUAUUCUCGAAUUAAUUUUUAUAUAUUGUUCAACUAAAAAUAAAAUUUUUACUGAGUUAAAAAAUACAUUUAAUAUUUAAUCUAUGGACCUAAAAAGAUUAACAAAAUGAAAUGUGAAAUAUCAUACGUAUUCGAAUUAAUAGUCAUACGAUACAAAAAUGUGUAUUUUUAGAUUCGGUUUGAACCAGCAAUUAGAGUUAAUUGCCCUCUUAAGUUAUUAUUCUUCUCACUAACCACAUUUAAAAUUUUCCAUCUCAAUAUAGUUUUAGAAGUGGAUAUAUUCUUGCAAAAUUGUGAGGUGUAAAAGGUAUUGGAGUUGAUGUGGAGGACAAUUUGUGAAAGUGAUCUAUCAACUAGAAAAUCAUUAGGGUUUGAAGGUGCAUGAUAUUGGUGUGUGUACUCCUCAAUCCUCAGCCAUUGGUGGGAAGCUUACAAUUAGGAAUUAAGAUCGUCACUGUUGGCUGUGUUUUACCCGAAUGAAUGUUGGAAACUGAUCACUUAGGCAUGUAACGGAAUCUAAACGUAGUAUAAUCAAAAGCAUUUUUAAUGUAAAUUCAUAUUAAAAAUGGAUUUGAUUGCAUUAUAUUUCAUUACAGCUUAUCAAUUUAUUAACUUAGUAAGAGAAUCGGAGAAGCUUGAUGAUUUAAGAUGUUGAAUUAUUAUCGAUGAAUCCGACUCCAGAACUAUGCAAAUAGAACCUAUUUCAAUAGCCAUUUCGAUAAUACUAAUGCAGAUAAAGAUGCAUUAGUAUUAACUUUGUAAAGCCUUUUGGGAAGGGAGAUCACAAAUGACAAAUAAAAUAAAUAUUAAAAAAAAAAUACUUAGCGAAGAUAUUAAAUUAAUUUUGUAUUAAGAAACUUAAAUAUUAAUUCUAAAUAUUAAAUUAAAGUGAUCACAAACGACAAAAAAUUACUUUUGCAUCAUUUUUUUUUUUGCGAAGAAAAUACUUAGUGAAAAUAUUAAAAUAUAUAAAUUAAUUUUCUAAAAUGACAAAUGAAAACCUUAAACAACACUUAGUAUUGCGGACUAAGGAAAUAGAAAUUACUAUCUGUUCCACUUUAAUAGCAAUAAAUAAGCAUUUUAUUUUGUUCUAUUUAGAGUGCUCAUUUAUAAUUCUGAGAGUAUAUUAAUAAAUUAUUUUCUAAAUUUAUCCAUAUUUAUUAAGUGUAAUUUUUCUAAUUUUGAAAGUAUAUUAUUGUUUGAAAUCCUUUUUUUUAAAUAAUAGAAAAAAUAUUAGCAAUUUUUAAAAGUCAUUGACACUAAAAAAUAAAACAAAAUACAGGAACUACAAAUAAGAGCAUGUAUAAAAUAUAUGCAUUUAUUGAUAAUAAUCGUUAACUCACUUGAAAACACCAAUUGACAAUUUUUAUAAGAAAAUAAAAAAGAUAAAUUUAUCAAGGAUCACCCAUAAAAAAAAAAACAUAAGUGAGCAAAAGAAAAUAUUACAAUAGAAAUAAUAUAUAUUAAUUAAAAAAUAGGAAAGCAAACAUGAUCACAAUUUGAUUUUAAAUUGAAAUUGAAUCGAAAGAAAAUUAAUUAAAAUUGGAACCAAAUUAUGGUGAAUGAUUCUCAUUUUUGAAAUGUAAUUAAAAUCGUGUGCCUAUGGUAUGAAUCCGGUUCCUAUUUUUUUCAGGUUAGAUCCACUGAAUUUUGUUUUCCGACUAUUUUGCUAUGAAAUCAUAAAUAAAAAUGGAAAAAGAGUAAGUGAAAGACUAUGAGUAAAACUCCCAAUUCAUUUUCUGUUUUAUUAUAAUCAUUCAAAUAAAUAUUAAGAUUUUUUUAUUAAAUUUACUUUGUUCUACACGAAAAACAUCAAGAUAAAACUUUUUUAACACUUAUGAAUAGAAUUUUUUUAAAACAGUAGAUUUACGAAACAUGUACUAUAAACUUUAUUUGUUCAACAUAAGAAUGCAUGAACUUUAUAUGCAAUAAUACAGUAAUAAUGGUCAGUUUUAAAAUAUCCAAAUUAGUAUAUAUCUAUUAAUUCAAAGUCACCAGUCAAAAUAAAAAGGGACUAACUCAUGUAUCAUUUUCUUCUAUUUCAUAUUUAAUUAAUUUUUUAAUAAAUUAUAUUGCCUAAUUGCAAUCAUAGUUUUAAUAAAUGUCUAUACAAGAAUUCUCCCAUUAUAAUUGCAAUGAAAAAUCAAGGGCUAAAUUGACCCAAAAUGUUAAACCUAAUCUUUUUAAUUAUUUUAAACAAAUUCGAAAGUUAAAUUGACCGAAAAUGUUAAAUUUGAUCUUUUUGAUUCAGCUAAAUAAGUUCACAGGUCAAAUCAAUUAGUUAUUGCUUUUCAUGCUGCAAAAGUUAAAAAAAAAAAAAUUAAAAUUAGGAAAAAAACUUUUGGAAAAAAAUUUUGUUAGUAUCAAUUUCAAUUUGACAUUGAAUUAAUGAUUUCAAAGCUGCUAUAAGAACUGCCUAAAAACCAUUCGAUUUUAGUUUCAUUUUUUAAGAAACUGAAAUUGACAGUUAUGAAAUUGAAAGGGUGAUUUAAAAAUCAUGAUGAUACCUAGGGUUUUGUUUCUACUUUUUAAGUAUGAAAAGAAAAAGAGAGUAUUGGACGUAUAAGGUUUUAUUUUUAGGCAUAAAAAAUUAUAUUUUUGAUCAUAUCGCUUUAUCAAAGAGUCAUCCUUUAUUUGGAUGAGUGUAUUUUUUGAAAGAUAAUAAUUAUAAAAAAUAUCUAGAAAAAUGUAUUUUAUCAUUUUUGGAAAAGAGCAGAAAAAUUUUGGAAGAAUUAAUAUUUUAGUUACUUUCCAUCCGGAACCAUAUAUUUUGAAUUUCUCCAACUUAGGAGAAUAUGAAGGAAAAUAGAUUUCACUUAAAAUUUUAUCUUUUUCUUAAAUACCCCAUAAUUUAAGUAAGGAGAUAAUUUU
rnacentral:lncRNA from 1 species